AUUGAACGCUGGCGGCGUGCCUAACACAUGCAAGUCGAGCGGUAACAGGUGUAGCAAUACAUGCUGACGAGCGGCGAACGGGUGAGUAAUGCUUCGGAAUCUACCUUAUGGUGGGGAAUAACUAGCCGAAAGGUUAGCUAAUACCGCAUACGUCCUACGGGAGAAAGCAGGGGAUCGCAAGACCUUGCGCCAAAAGAUGAGCCGAAGUCGGAUUAGCUAGUUGGUAGGGUAACGGCCUACCAAGGCGACGAUCCGUAGCUGGUCUGAGAGGACGACCAGACACACGGGGACUGAGACACGGCCCAGACUCCUACGGGGGGCAGCAGUGGGAAUAUUGGACAAUGGGGGAAACCCUGAGCCAGCGACGCCGCGUGUGUGAAGAAGGCCUGCGGGUUGUAAAGCACUUUUAGUGGGGAUGAAAUGUGCAGGGUUAAUACCUCUGCAUUUUGACCUAACCCACAGAAAAAGCACCGGCUAACUCUGCGCCAGCCGCCGCCGUAA
rnacentral:rRNA from 1 species